rnacentral:rRNA from 1 species
GAGUUUGAUCUUGGCUCAGAUUGAACGCUGGCGGCAUGCCUUACACAUGCAAGUCGAACGGCAGCACGGGAGCUUGCUCCUGGUGGGCGAGUGGCGAACCGGGUGAGUAAUGCAUCGGAACGUAUCCUGGAGUGGGGGAUAACGUAGCGAAAGUUACGCUAAUACCGCAUAUUCUGUGAGCAGGAAAGCGGGGGACCUUCGGGCCUCGCGCUCUUGGAGCGGCCGAUGUCGGAUUAGCUAGUUGGUGAGGUAAAGGCUCACCAAGGCGACGAUCCGUAGCAGGUCUGAGAGGAUGAUCUGCCACACUGGAACUGAGACACGGUCCAGACUCCUACGGGA